CAAUACGUAGGUGACAAGCGUUGUCCGGAUUUAUUGGGCGUAAAGCGAGCGCAGGCGGGUCCGGUAAGUCUGAUGUGAAAGCCCACGGCUCAACCGUGGAACGGCAUUGGAAACUGGCGGACUUGAAUGUAGCAGAGGAAAGUGGAAUUCCAUGUGUAGCGGUGGAAUGCGUAGAUAUAUGGAGGAACACCAGUGGCGAAAGCGACUUUCUGGGCUAUGAUUGACGCUGAGGCUCGAAAGCGUGGGGAGCGAACAGGAUUAGAUACCCUGGUAGUCCACGCCGUAAACGAUGAGUGCUAAGUGUUGGAGGGUUUCCGCCCUUCAGUGCCGGAGUUAACGCAUUAAGCACUCCGCCUGGGGAUUACGACCGCAAGGUUGAAACUCAAAAGAAUUGACGGGGACCCGCACAAGCGGUGGAGCAUGUGGUUUAAUUCGAAGCAACGCGAAGAACCUUACCAGCUCUUGACAUCUUCUGCCACCUUCAGAGAUGAAGGGUUCCUUCGGGGACAGAAUGACAGGUGGUGCAUGGUUGUCGUCAGCUCGUGUCGUGAGAUGUUGGGUUAAGUCCCGUAACGAGCGCAACCCUUAUUGUUAGUUGCCAGCAUUGAGUUGGGCACUCUAGCAAGACUGCCGGUGAUAAACCGGAGGAAGGCGGGGAUGACGUCAAAUCAUCAUGCCCCUUAUGAGCUGGGCUACACACGUGCUACAAUGGAUGGUACAACGAGUGGCGAGACCGCGAGGUUUAGCUAAUCUCCCAAAGCCAUUCUCAGUUCGGAUCGCAGGCUGCAACUCGCCUGCAUGAAGUCGGAAUCGCUAGUAAUCGCGGAUCAGAAUGCCGCGGUGAAUUCGUUCCCGGGUC
rnacentral:rRNA from 1 species